CCGCGGGAUUUGAUUAAGCCAUGNNUUAACACGUGGAUAACCUGCCCUUGGGACCGGGAUAACCCCGGGAAACUGGGGAUAAACCUGGAUAGGUGAUGCUGCCUGGAAUGGUUCUUCACCGAAACACCUUCGGGUGCCCAAGGAUGGGUCUGCGGCCGAUUAGGUUGUUGGUAGGGUAACGGCCUACCAAGCCGAUCAUCGGUACGGGUUGUGAGAGCAAGAGCCCGGACAUGGAACCUGAGACAAAGUUCCAGGCCCUACGGGGCGCACCACGCGCGAAACCUCCGCAAUGCACGCAAGUGCGACGGGGGAACCCCAAGUGCCACUCUUAACGGGGUGGCUUUUCAGAAGUGUAAAAAGCUUCUGGAAUAAGGGCUGGGCAAGACCGGUGCCAGCCGCCGCGGUAACACCGGCAGCUCAAGUGGUAGCCGCUUUUAUUGGGCCUAAAGCGUCCGUAGCCGGUCUGAUAAGUCUCUGGUGAAAUCCCACAGCUUAACUGUGGGAAUUGCUGGAGAUACUAUCAUGACUCAAGGUCAGGAGAGGCUGCAGGUACUCCCAGGGUAGGGGUGAAAUCCUGUAAUCCUGGGAGGACCACCUGUGGGCCAAGGCGCCCAAACCGAACGAAACACACGGUGAGGGACGAAAGCCAGGGGCGCGAACCGGAUUAGAUACCCGGGUAGUCCUGGCCGUAAACGAUGUGGACUUGGUGUUGGGAUGGCUUCGAGCUGCCCCAGUGCCGAAGGGAAGCUGUUAAGUCCACCGCCUGGGAAGUACGGCCGCAAGGCUGAAACUUAAAGGAAUNGGCGGGGGAGCA
rnacentral:rRNA from 1 species